GAGUGUUACAGCUCUUUUAGAAUUUGUCUAGCAGGUUUUCCAGUCUUUAGCAGAAACCACCCCA
rnacentral:snRNA from 1 species